CCCGUAUUCCGAUUUUCAUAAUUUUCUUACCUUGAGUUCUCGAGAUAUUUCUAAUAGGCCCUUUAUCUGCCUCACCCUGUAUAGUUUAUAAGCUUAUUAUAGCUUAUAAUUUAAGUUUAGUUUAGUUUCAGUUUACUUUAACCCUUAACUACAGACAUUCCAUUAUUACAACGUAACAACAGAGGCCCGGUAUUUUUUACUGGUACUAUAAAAUAGAGUCAAAAUUUAAAGUUAAUAAAAAAAAACAAAUAAAUUAUGCAUUAUGUAUUUUUCUGGAGUCUCUAUUAGAUAUGGAAGAACUAGUAAAAUGAGUGAUUUUAAUAAUAUAAUAUGUGAGUUUUAAUGAAUAAUCUACACUCACCGGCACAAAAUUCCGCCACCCAAAAUUUUUGAAAGUUUGACAAUCUAUAACUUUAUUAUUUGUACUCCGAUUUUCAAGAUUCUUCUGUCAGUUUGUAAAUACAUGUAUUGAUAUCGUUUUUUAUUAUUCCGGUAACACAAGUUUUUUGCUUAGAUAGCAAUAUACGGGGGUGAAUGGAAGCGUUGUAUUUUCUCCUAACUUUAAAAAAUUCUGUGGAAAAAUUGGAGGGCUGAUUUUGUUUCAUACUCCUUCUGUAUUAUCCUGGAGGUAUCACUAAGUGUUUUUUUUUUAAUUAUCCGAAUAUCUCUUUUAUUGUAAGAGCUGUAAUUAAAAACACUGCUUUGAAGAUUUUUUGAAGUUAUACUUCUUUACGAGCGUAAUGAUGGUGAAUUUUUAUAUGGUAAAACCUAGCGACCGGGCGCAUGCGCAUUAUAACUUUGUUCUGAUUGGAUGUUCAAGUGACAUGUCAAAAAUUAUCCAAUAUGGCAGCUGUAGCGCAGCUGUGGUUUGGACGGUUUGGUUAUGUCGUUGAUUGAUAAAUAUAGUUUCAUAUUAUAUUUUUGGACUUAUUAACAUGCAUGUCAUAAACUGUGUGAGUGCGAUUUUCAAUCGCAAAAUUACUGAUAAAAACCUAUUCGCUCGAAGAGGUAGAGUGUAGAGAACUGUGGAUAACAUCAAUCAACCGGGACGAUUUACGAUCUCACUUAUUCAAAACUAAAGACUCGGAGAAUCCAGUACUUGGAGUCUUUCAUUACUGUCAAUGAUUACUGACGAACCUGCUUAUUUAGAGGACGAAAAUCAUCCUGAUCAAGUUCCAUCACAGGAAAUGGUACGCAAGCCUCAAAAAAGUGCGUAGGUAACAGGAUGUUGAAAGAAUGAGGAGACUGGAAAAGAAAGAAGUAAAUUGAGAGGGAGUAAAUCCAAUAAACACAUUUAUCUUAUGCUAUUUCAAGUGGAUAUAACAACUAAAAAAUAAAUAAUGGAGAAUAAUUUAAU